rnacentral:lncRNA from 1 species
AAGAAGCUUAGCUUUUAUCCCUGAGUGUCCACUGGAAUAUUAUAAUCUAGUUGCUGCGAGUUACCAAGUUGGAUUUGUAUGUGCAAAGGAGCAUUUUGUCAUCACCUUGGAGAAUGAACUAGAGAGAAAAACAGGCAAGAGUGGUGGCAGAGAGAAGAGUUAGUGUUCCAACCCCCCAAAAAGAUGAUGAGGCCAUGUUCAGAGGGAUGGAUCAGGAAGAAGUAUGUAGAUAAUUAGGAGGUUAAACGGACAAGAUUUGGAAAGUGGCAGCCAUGAAAAUGUAUUCCUCAGAUCUCCUGCAGUGUGUACAGUAUAAUGGACCAAUGGCCCCAGUGUCCAUCCCACCAGGUCCACCACUUUAUUCAUGACAAGGUCGUGCUUCCCAGGGGCUGCUCCCAACCAGUGUAUGAGCAUGGCUGGGCCACCAGUGCAGGCCAUUCCUAGAGGAGGCAAGACUCCUAGUUCACAGUAACAUAGUACUAAUUAAAUGUAGGGAAAUUGGAAGAGGCAGAUUCUAAAGGAUUCUCAGGUCAAUGCUAGAAAAAAAUAAUCAUUUCUGGGGACAAUUAUAAGGACUAUGAUGAGAGUCUGGGAAAUAUCAGGUCGGUUUUGUGUAUGUUAUUUUGCAGGAUUCUAGGACACUGAGGGACAGAUUUCCCACACUCCCACCUGCGUGCUCAGUUGCGUGGACUGCAUCCUGCCAGGCUCCUCUGUCCAUGGGAUUCUCCAGGCAAAACUACUGGAGUAGGUUGCCAUUUCCUCCUCCAGGGGAUCUUCCCGACCCAGAGAUGGAACCCACGUCUCUUGCAUCUCCUGCAUUAGCAGGUGGAUUUUUUUUUUUUUUUUUUUUACCACUGGUGCCACCUGGGAAGCCCUGCAGAGAACUGCAUAUUGUGAACCAAGAAUUCAGAAGAGAGAAGAGGAAGAGGAGGUAACAAAACAUUAAAGGAAUACUUCUUAAGCCAUGUGACAGGAGGUACCACAUGUACAGCAUUGCUUCCUGAAAUCAGACUGUGCCUCUCCAGACAAUACCCAUUUUAUUAAAAUGAAAUAUCAACUCUUUCUCAAACUGUCAAGUUAAAAAAAGCAAACUUUAAUGUGAACUCUAUCAAUCUUUCUAUUAAAUGAUUCAUUGUCUAUGAGAAAUGGCUCCAUGAAGGAAUGAAAGGUAAUGGCCUUUGAAAAACAACUUUUUUCCCCAAGAAAACAUUGGCCUUCUAGAAGACAACUGUUUGUGACAGCUUGGGUGUGUGACUUGCUUAAGAGGGAAAAAAAAAGUGCAGCUCUCCAAGAGGAAAAUGGAAAUUAGUAGUGGAGAGAGAAAAAGAAAGACUUUCAAAGCUUGUCUCUAAAUUCCUUUUUGAGAUUCACAUGAGCACUUUAGCUCUAGAACAAUGUUUCUAGAAACACAAUCUAUCAAUAAUGACAUUUAUAGGUCAAUUACUGUUACCUGGGGAAUUUGGUCUACUCUUAUUUUACA